rnacentral:rRNA from 1 species
CCUACGGGGGGCAGCAGUGGGGAAUAUUGGACAAUGGGGGGAACCCUGAUCCAGCCAUGCCGCGUGUGUGAAGAAGGCCCUCGGGUUGUAAAGCACUUUCAGUGAGGAAGAACGCCUGGUGGUUAAUACCCAUCAGGAAAGACAUCACUCACAGACGAAGCACCGGCUAACUCCGUGCCAGCAGCCGCGGUAAUACGGAGGGUGCGAGCGUUAAUCGGAAUUACUGGGCGUAAAGCGCGCGUAGGUGGCUUGAUAAGCCGGUUGUGAAAGCCCCGGGCUCAACCUGGGAACGGCAUCCGGAACUGUCAAGCUAGAGUGCAGGAGAGGAAGGUAGAAUUCCCGGUGUAGCGGUGAAAUGCGUAGAGAUCGGGAGGAAUACCAGUGGCGAAGGCGGCCUUCUGGACUGACACUGACACUGAGGUUCGAAAGCGUGGGUAGCAAACAGGAUUAGAUACCCCGGUAGUC